rnacentral:rRNA from 1 species
GUCGCCAGCCGACCGGCAGGAAGAACCGACGUGCGAACGUUGUUCGGAAUCACUGGGCUUAAAGGGCGCGUAGGCGGCCAACUAAGUCAGACGUGAAAUCCCUCAGCUUAACUGGGGAACUGCGUCUGAUACUGGAUGGCUUGGAUUCGGGAGAGGAAUGCGGAAUUCCAGGUGUAGCGGUGAAAUGCGUAGAUAUCUGGAGGAACACCGGUGGCGAAGGCGGCAUUCUGGACCGACAUUGACGCUGAGGAGCGAAAGCCAGGGGAGCAAACGGG